CUGAACCUUGCGGGAGAGAUCGGCAAUAGCCGGCGCCGAAGGAGCAAUCCACCCCGGAAACUCUCAGGCAAAAGGACCGCAAGGGAAGG
rnacentral:ncRNA from 2 species